CAGUUCGGAUUGUAGUCUGCAACCCGACUACAUGAAGCUGGAAUCGCUAGUAAUCGCGGAUCAGAAUGCCGCGGUGAAUACGUUCCCGGGUCUUGUACACACCGCCCGUCACACCAAGGGAGUCGGAAAUGCCCGAAGUCUGUGACCCAACCUUAGGGAGGGAGCAGCCGAAGGCAGGUCGGAUGACUGGGGUGAAGUCGUAACAAGGUAGC
rnacentral:rRNA from 1 species